rnacentral:rRNA from 1 species
UCCGUAGGUGGAUAAUUAAGUCAGAGGUGAAAGUUUGCAGCUCAACUGUAAAAUUGCCUUUGAUACUGGUUAUCUUGAGUUAUUAUGAAGUAGUUAGAAUAUGUAGUGUAGCGGUGAAAUGCAUAGAUAUUACAUAGAAUACCAAUUGCGAAGGCAGAUUACUAAUAAUAUACUGACACUGAUGGACGAAGGCGUGGGUAGCGAACAGGAUUAGAUACCCUGGUAGUC